rnacentral:rRNA from 1 species
UGGUGGAGUGAUUUGUCUGGUUAAUUCCGUUAACGAACGAGACCUCAGCCUGCUAAAUAGUUGCGUAAACCAUCUGGUUUAUGUUCAACUUCUUAGAGGGACAUUCGGUUUCUAGCCGAAGGAAGUUUGAGGCAAUAACA